rnacentral:misc_RNA from 1 species
UGUAUUUUGAUUCUAGGGGAAAGAAUGAUUUUUUGAAUUGCAUCAAUAAGCCAAAGGCUGUAUCUUUAUUGAGUUUGACUGUUAGUAGUAGGAGUGCUUCAUCAAGAAUUAGUGAAGUACUUUUUCAGUUUAACAAGGCUAUUAGAUUCCAUUGUGAGAAAAUCCCUCUUGGGUUUGCCUCAGUUGGUGGAGGGGUUCAUUGUGGGGAGAGCAAUGGGGUUAGAGAAGAGGGGAGUGUACUGGAG